rnacentral:rRNA from 1 species
AAAUUGAAGAGUUUGAUCAUGGCUCAGAUUGAACGCUGGCGGCAGGCCUAACACAUGCAAGUCGAGCGGAAACGACAUUAUUGAAUCUUCGGAGGAUUUAAUGGGCGUCGAGCGGCGGACGGGUGAGUAAUGCCUAGGAAAUUGCCUUGAUGUGGGGGAUAACCAUUGGAAACGAUGGCUAAUACCGCAUAAUGCCUACGGGCCAAAGAGGGGGAUCUUCGGACCUCUCGCGUCAAGAUAUGCCUAGGUGGGAUUAGCUAGUUGGUGAGGUAAUGGCUCACCAAGGCGACGAUCCCUAGCUGGUCUGAGAGGAUGAUCAGCCACACUGGAACUGAGACACGGUCCAGACU